rnacentral:rRNA from 2 species
CCUCUCGCGUCAAGAUAUGCCUAGGUGGGAUUAGCUAGUUGGUGAGGUAAUGGCUCACCAAGGCGACGAUCCCUAGCUGGUCUGAGAGGAUGAUCAGCCACACUGGAACUGAGACACGGUCCAGACUCCUACGGGAGGCAGCAGUGGGGAAUAUUGCACAAUGGGCGAAAGCCUGAUGCAGCCAUGCCGCGUGUAUGAAGAAGGCCUUCGGGUUGUAAAGUACUUUCAGUUGUGAGGAAGGG